AGGGCAGUCUUGAAGAAAUGAAAUGUCUUGUUCAACAAUUGCAGACUAUAAUGAUGAAGAAAAGUUGUUGUACCUAUUUGGAUGCAAGCAAAUUCUGUCAUUAAUGCAGUUGCUUGUGGUGUCUUGAGUUGGUUUUCCCUGGACUUCACACUGUGAUGAUUCUGAGUUCAAGCUCCAUUUGUGGCUGGAAUGGUCUCAUUGGCAACAACCUUGCUGCCUCUUGAGUUGGGGAAGGGCUGCGCAGUAUCGGUAUACCUGCUGAGUUAUCACCAAAAUUAUCCUUUGCCUCUGCUGCCCAUGAAUGACUUUUAGACCUCAACACUAAUAUAGUUGUCCAACAGCUAUAACAUUGCAUUGCUCUUUCAGGCUCCCCAGUUCAUCAUGACAGAGUCUUUGAGAAAUAUAUCUGCAAUAUGAGGAGUUUUUGAGAUACAUCUGCAAUAUGAAGAGUGGAUUCAUCUGCAUUUUUCAACUGCUGCUUUCCUUUUGAUGGAUUCUCUCUCACCAUGUAACAAAUUUGCUCAAGUGUACAAUUCAUGAAAGUUAUAAACCUUUUAUUUUUACUUGUGCCUUGGCUUUCAGGAAUGCCGGAGAAACUGGGUACUUCGACAGAUAGUGAAACUUAACAGAAUAGUGUUCAACAGUGUGCUGCAUGCACUCCCCACCUACUUCUUCCCCCUUCCCCCAUUAG